AUUGAACGCUGGCGGCAGGCCUAACACAUGCAAGUCGAACGAGUGGCGGACGGGUGAGUAAUGUCUGGGAAACUGCCUGAUGGAGGGGGAUAACUACUGGAAACGGUAGCUAAUACCGCAUACCAUCGGAUGUGCCCAGAUGGGAUUAGCUAGUAGGUGGGGUAACGGCUCACCUAGGCGACGAUCCCUAGCUGGUCUGAGAGGAUGACCAGCCACACUGGAACUGAGACACGGUCCAGAAUCCUACGGGAGGCAGCAGUGGGGAAUAUUGCACAAUGGGCGCAAGCCUGAUGGAGCAAUGCCGCGUGAGUGAAGAAGGCCUUCGGGUUGUAAAGUACUGUCAGUGGGGAAGCGUUACCCGCACAGAAAGCACCGGCUAACUCCGUGCCAGCAGCCGCGGUAAUUC
rnacentral:rRNA from 1 species